AGUGAACGCUGGCGGCGUGGAUUAGGCAUGCAAGUCGAACGGUAUCAUCCUUUCGGGGGUGAGAGAGUGGCGAACUGGUGAGUAACACGUAGGUUAUCUACCCUCAAGACGGGGACAACCCAGGGAAACUUGGGCUAAUACCGGAUGUGAGCAACUUUUAGUUGUUUGAAAGGUGGCGUAAGCUGUCGCUUGGGGAUGAGCCUGCGUCCUAUUAGUUAGUUGGUGAGGUAACGGCUCACCUAGGCAAUGAUAGGUAGGCGGCCUUAACGGGUGGUCGCCCACACUGGGAUUGAGAUACGGCCCAGACUCCUACGGGAGGCAGCAGUCGAGAAUAGUCUACAAUGGUCGGAAGACUGAUAGUGCGACGCCGCGUGAACGAUGAAUCCCUUCGGGGUGUAAAGUUCUUUUAUAUGUGAGCAGUGCUUCUUAUAUUAACAGUAUGGGGAGAGAGAUAUUAGCAUAUGAAUAAGCAACGGCUAACUCCGUGCCAGCAGCCGCGGUAAA
rnacentral:rRNA from 1 species